CAGCAGCCGCGGGAAUACGAAGGGUGCAAGCGUUACUCGGAAUUACUGGGCGUAAAGCGUGCGUAGGUGGUGGUUUAAGUCCGUUGUGAAAGCCCUGGGCUCAACCUGGGAAUUGCAGUGGAUACUGGGUCACUAGAGUGUGGUAGAGGAUAGUGGAAUUUCCGGUGUAGCAGUGAAAUGCGUAGAGAUCUGAAGGAACAUCUGUGGCGAAGGCGACUAUCUGGGCCAACACUGACACUGAGGCACGAAAGCGUGGGGAGCAAACAGGAUUAGAUACCCGAGUAGUCCCUGUCUCUUAUAC
rnacentral:rRNA from 1 species